GACGAACCGUGCGAACGUUGUUCGGAAUCACUGGGCUUAAAGGGCGCGUAGGCGGCUCGCCAAGUCGGGGGUGAAAUACUUCAGCUUAACUGGAGAAGUGCCCUUGAUACUGGCGGGCUCGAGGGAGGUAGGGGUCUGUGGAACUUCUGGUGGAGCGGUGAAAUGCGUUGAUAUCAGAAGGAACGCCGGUGGCGAAAGCGACGGACUGGACCUCUUCUGACGCUGAGGCGCGAAAGCUAGGGGAGCAAACGGG
rnacentral:rRNA from 1 species